rnacentral:misc_RNA from 1 species
UCACUAUAUCAAGCUUGGCUUGUUGUUGGGCCUAUUGUCACCUGGUGACAGGUCCGAAAGACAAUGACCGGUGUCAUGCAGACUCCAUAUGCAACGAGCUUAUAACAGCACGCAUUGGUGGUUGUGUGGCCCGCUGGCAGCCUCUGGCACCCCUUUCUCCA